GAUGAAGAACGCAGCGAAAUGCGAUAAUUAAUGUGAAUUGCAGUAUUCCGUGAAUCAUCGAGUCUUUGAACGCACAUUGCGCCUCAUGGCAUUCCGUGAGGCAUGCCCAUCUCAGCGUUAGAAAAUAUUCUCAAAUUUUAGUUUUGUGCUAAAAUUUGGAUCAUGUCAAGGAAGCUAUUACUAUUAUUGUGAUCGCUCUUUGGAAAUUGAUAGGUCUUUGAGUUGCUACUCAUAGAACGUGAUGAAUCUUUCUUCGUUCUAUUGUAAUUCACUCUGGUAGUCCUAAAACUUGUAUGCCUGUGGCAUAUCUUGUAAUUUGACCUGAGAUUGGGUAGGGAUACCCGCUGAACUUAAGCAUAUCAAUAAGCGGAGGA
rnacentral:misc_RNA from 1 species